rnacentral:rRNA from 1 species
GUCCACGCCCUAAACGAUGUACACUAGUUGUUGUGAGGCUCGACCUUGCAGUAAUGCAGUUAACACAUUAAGUGUACCGCCUGGGGAGUACGGUCGCAAGAUUAAAACUCAAAGGAAUAGACGGGGACCCGCACAAGCGGUGGAGCAUGUGGUUUAAUUCGACGAUACACGAAGAACCUUACCUGGACUUGACAUAGUAAGAACUUUCUAGAGAUAGAUUGGUGUCUGCUUGCAGAAACUUAUAUACAGGUGCUGCACGGCUGUCGU